UACGUAGGGCGCAAGCGUUGUCCGGAUUCACUGGGUGUAAAGGGUGCGUAGGCGGGAAGGCAAGUCAGAGGUGAAAUCUCACGGCUCAACCGUGAAACUGCCUUUGAUACUGCUUUUCUUGAGUUAGGGAGAGGUUGAUGGAAUUCCAGGUGUAGCGGUGAAAUGCGUAGAUAUCGGAAGGAACACCAGUGGCGAAAGCGGCUUCCUGGUCCGACACCGACGUUCAGGCACGAAAGCGUGGGGAGCAAACAGG
rnacentral:rRNA from 1 species